rnacentral:rRNA from 1 species
CCCUGGCUCAGAACGAACGCUGGCGGCAGGCUUAACACAUGCAAGUCGAGCGCCUCGCAAGAGGAGCGGCAGACGGGUGAGUAACGCGUGGGAAUCUACCCAUCUCUACGGAAUAACGCAUGGAAACGUGUGCUAAUACCGUAUACGCCCUUUGGGGGAAAGAUUUAUCGGAGAUGGAUGAGCCCGCGUUGGAUUAGCUAGUUGGUGGGGUAAAGGCCUACCAAGGCGACGAUCCAUAGCUGGUCUGAGAGGAUGAUCAGCCACAUUGGGACUGAGACACGGCCCAAACUCCUACGGGAGGCAGCAGUGGGGAAUAUUGGACAAUGGGCGCAAGCCUGAUCCAGCCAUGCCGCGUGAGUGAUGAAGGCCUUAGGGUUGUAAAGCUCUUUCACCGGAGAAGAUAAUGACGGUAUCCCGGAGAAGAAGCCCCGGCUAA